rnacentral:rRNA from 1 species
AGAGUUUGAUCAUGGCUCAGAACGAACGCUGGCGGCGUGCUUAAGACAUGCAAGUCGAACGAGAAAGGGGCUUCGGCCCUGAGUACAGUGGCGCACGGGUGAGUAACGCGUGGGUAAUCUGCCUUCAGGUUCGGGAUAACGCGGGGAAACCUGCGCUAAUACCGGGCAAGACCACGGGGUCCUCGGAUCCUGCGGCCAAAGGUGGCCUCUUCUUGAAAGCUAUCGCCUGAAGAUGAGCCCGCGUCCCAUUAGCUAGUUGGUGAGGUAACGGCUCACCAAGGCAGUGAUGGGUAGCUGGUCUGAGAGGACGAUCAGCCACACUGGAACUGAGACACGGUCCAGACUCCUACGGGAGGCAGCAGUCGGGAAUUUUGGGCAAUGGGGGCAACCCUGACCCAGCAACGCCGCGUGAGCGAUGAAGGCCUUCGGGUCGUAAAGCUCUGUCGGGAGGGAAGAAGGCUCUCGGAGUGAAUAAUUCCGGGGGAUUGACGGUACCUCCAAAGGAAGCGCCGGCUAACUCCGUGCCAGCAGCCGCGGUAAUACGGAGGGCGCAAGCGUUGUUCGGAAUCACUGGGCGUAAAGCGCGUGUAGGCGGCUUGGUAAGUCGGGUGUGAAAGCCCGGGGCCUAACCCCGGAACUGCACUCGAAACUGCCUCGCUAGAGUCUCGGAGAGGGUGGUGGAAUUCCCGGUGUAGAGGUGAAAUUCGUAGAUAUUCGGAAGAACACCAGUGGCGAAGGCGGCUCACUGGCCCGGUACUGACGCUGAGGUGCGAAAGCGUGGGGAGCAAACAGGAUUAGAUACCCUAGUAGUCC